rnacentral:rRNA from 1 species
AACCACAGCCACAUCUACCUGCAGACCCACACCGGUCCCUCACUGACGCUAAGCAGGGCUGAGGCUGGUCAGUGUCUGGAUGGGAGAGCACAUGGGAACACUAGGCUGCUGUUGGCA